CCUACGGGAGGCAGCAGUGAGGAAUAUUGGUCAAUGGACGAGAGUCUGAACCAGCCAAGUAGCGUGAAGGAUGACUGCCCUAUGGAUUGUAAACUUCUUUUAUAUGGGAAUAAACUGUUCCACGUGUGGGAUUUUGUAUGUACCAUAUGAAUAAGGAUCGGCUAACUCCGUGCCAGCAGCCGCGGUAAUACGGAGGAUGCGAGCGUUAUCCGGAUUUAUUGGGGUUAAAGGGUGCGUAGGUGGAUUGUUAAGUCAGUUGUGAAAGUUUGCGGCUCAACCGGAAAAUUGCAGUUGAAACUGGCAGUCUUGAGUACAGUAGAGGUGGGCGGAAUUCGCGGUGUAGCGGUGAAAUGCUUAGAUAUCACGCAGAACUCCGAUUGCGAAGGCAGUUCACUGGACUGCAACUGACACUGAGGCUCGAAAGUGUGGGUAUCAAACAGGAUUAGAUACCCCUGUAGUC
rnacentral:rRNA from 1 species